rnacentral:sRNA from 1 species
GCCAGGCACAGUGGCCCACGCCUAUAAUCCCAGCAACUAGGGAGGCUGAGGUAGGAGGAUCACGAGUUCAAAACCAGCCUCAGCAAUAGUGAGGCAUUAAGUACCUCAGUGAGACCCUGUCUCUA